ACUCAGUUUUAGAACAGCACAACCCGGAAUUGUUCCAUCGUCCACAAAGUUGAAAACACCCAUUUGGUUAAGGUACAACACAACUUCGAAUUCAUUUGGAGAAACUAUGUCCAGACCUUCAAAUCGUCCGUUCACUUCAUUGAGAGAACUGAUAAACCUGGGCUCCUGGACCUCGACUUCCUUCAGAACAUCCUGAACUACUUUACACACCUCGCGAAUAGUUUUGAUGGUGUUCCCCUGGCGAGUCUGUACCCGUUCGUUAUAGUACUUGUUUAACUGGAACAAAAUCUUGGACUGUGCCGCUAACAUAUCCGGCGAACUCCCCUCCAGAAGCAUACUCGCAAUUUUUUUUAGGUCUUAUAUUUUGCCGCUGAAAAUCCAAAGAAUUCUUUUUCACGAUGAUCACUUGUUAAUUCAUUUAAUUAAUUUCUGGUUGCGUUGUUUCCUCCGUGUGGCUCCUUUACAGCAAAGCGUGUCAGUCACGUUACUUUCACUUUUCCAGUUGCAUGCUUAGCGACACAGCGGAAUAUGAACUCGCUCUCUUUAUUGUCUCAGUAUUAUGAUUGUGAAAAUAUUUUUUUUUGUAUUUAUUAGCCACGUUGUAUGCUUGGAUGGAGUCCAUAUACCAGUUGUAGCGCACUACGUCAUGCGUGUACAAAUGCUCCGUGGCUGACUAUCAAUUGCUGGUAAUUGAAAAAUCAACUUGUCGGUAAUUCUGCACCAAUCGCUGCGCAGAAAAUUCCACAUGCAGAUUUUUACCUGAAUUAGCCCGCCCACCUCAUUAAGAGAGGCUGUUCGGCAUUUGUUGUUUUGCGACUGGCCCCGCCCCCUUUAUCUGUUCAUCAAGCGAAUGAUUAGCUCGAGACACCCGCAGCGAUGAGCACUGGAUAUUAGCCAUGCAUCGUUCAACGGGCAAAUAAUCCUAGCGGGGUUCUGAUAAACCACCAUCUUCUCUCUCAACGCUUUUCUCUGCCUUUUUGUGUCUACCAACAAUAUAGCAUGUCAUCCACUUAAUAAAAAUUCUUUUAUAAACUUGAACAAAUUAGGGAAUUUUUCAAUAAUCGAGCGACCUGUGUCACUGAGAUCGCCUUGCAAUGAGACACAGUUUCCCUCGCGCCGACUCAAUUAGUUGUCUUUCUGUUUAAUUCCUACGGACGCCAAUUCAGCAUAAUUUAAGAAAUGUUUACGAAAUUCAAGAAUCCUUUUAAGCUUUGCACAUUUUAUUUUUAUUUUUGGUUGUACUCAGUGUUUACUAGAAAUAUAUAUAUCCAUACUUUUUGUAAGUUAAGAACGGAAUAAAAAUAGUUUGUUG
rnacentral:sRNA from 1 species